ensembl:lncRNA
GCACGAGCCCGACGGGCCUGACGGGCCGCGGCUUUUUGGGAGAGCACUCAGCGGCACAGUGGCAGCCUGUGAUUGCUGUGGUGGAGCCCUGAGGUCAUCACAGUCGGGGCUUUGAUGGGCAGAGCUUUGACUUUUCUGUUAGCAACCAGGACCAUAAUGAACCCUGACUCCAACAGACACUCAGGAUCCACCUGCCCAGGAACCCAAUAAGGAUUCAAAUACUUCAAAAGUCAACCAAUGACAUUGAUGUGUAAGACUAUUUAAUAAUUAUUUAUUGUUUAUAUUUCAUUUAUUCAUUCAUUCUUUGCACUGUGAUUUAACCCAUCUUUGUGUAAAGCAGGGGUGUCAAACUCCAGGCCUUGAGAGCCAGCGUCCUGAAGCUUUUAAAUGUAUCUCUGCUGCAACACACCUGAAUAAAAUUAUUAGGUCAUUAGCAUGACUCUACCC